GUGGGGAAUAUUGGACAAUGGCCGAGAGGCUGAUCCAGCCAUGCCGCGUGCGGGAGGACGGCCCUAUGGGUUGUAAACCGCUUUUGUUGGGGAGCAAUAAGUCUUACGUGUAAGAUGAUGAGAGUACCCAGCGAAUAAGCAUCGGCUAACUCCGUGCCAGCAGCCGCGGUAAUACGGAGGAUGCGAGCGUUAUCCGGAUUUAUUGGGUUUAAAGGGUGCGUAGGCGGGCUGCUAAGCGUGAGGUGAAAUGCCACGGCUCAACCGUGGAACUGCCUCGCGAACUGGUAGUCUUGAAUGUCCGUGCCGUGGGAGGAAUGUGUGGUGUAGCGGUGAAAUGCAUAGAGAUCACACAGAACACCGAUUGCGAAGGCAUCUCACGAACGGAUGAUUGACGCUGAGGCACGAAAGCGUGGGGAUCAAACAGG
rnacentral:rRNA from 1 species